rnacentral:rRNA from 1 species
AACCUGGUUGAUCUUGCCAGUAGUCAUAUGCUUGUCUCAAAGAUUAAGCCAUGCAAGUGAAAGUAUAUGCAUAUUUAAUAUGUAGAAACUGCGAACGGCUCAUUAAAACAGUUAUAAUCUACUUGACAUUUUAUUAUAAGGAUAACUACGGAAAAUCUGUAGCUAAUACUUGUAAAAGUACAUUACUCCUCGGAGUAAAGUACGUAUUUGUUAAGACCCCCAAGAAAAAAUGAUAUUAAAGGAAUUAUAACAAAGAAGUUACACCACAACAACCGUUAUAGUGUGUAUCAAUCGAGUUUCUGACCUAUCAGCUUUUGAUGUUAGGGUAUUGACCUAACAUGGCUUUGACGGGUAACGGGGAAUUAGAGUUCGAUUCCGGAGAGGGAGCCUGAGAAAUAGCUACCACAUCUAAGGAAGGCAGCAGGCGCGUAAAUUACCCAAUUCUAAAUAAGAGAGGUAGUGACAAGAAAUAACAAUAUAAGGCCAAAUUUUGGUUUUAUAAUUGGAAUGAUGGGAACUUAAAAUCUUCCCAAAAUUCAAUUGGAGGGCAAGUCUGGUGCCAGCAGCCGCGGUAAUUCCAGCUCCAAUAGCGUAUAUUAAAAUUGUUGCAGUUAAAACGCUCGUAGUUAAAUUUCAAAGGACUAUAAAUAUUGUAAGAACGUGCUUGGUGAGAUUCAUCGUGACUUUGUCAUUGUACUCUGCCUCGUCGUACUUUUAACUAUAGAUUCCUUUGAGAGCCCAAUGAGUCAUCGCUGGGCUCUCGUUACUUUGAGUAAAUUAGAGUGUUUAAAGCAAAUAUAUAAUUAGUAUAAUUACUGUGUUUGAAUACUAUAGCAUGGAAUAACAACAUUGAAUAGGUCAAAAAUUUUUGAAAAAUUUUUCUUGUUUUGGCUUAGAUACAGUUAAUAGGAGUAGAUUGGAGGCAUUUGUAUUCAGAUGCUAGAGGUGAAAUUCUUAGAUUUUCUGGAGACAAACAACUGCGAAAGCAUUUGC